rnacentral:rRNA from 1 species
UACGAAGGGGGCUAGCGUUGCUCGGAAUUACUGGGCGUAAAGCGCGUGUAGGCGGCGGCGUAAGUCGGGUGUGAAAUCCCUCAGCUCAACUGAGGAAGUGCACUCGAUACUGUGUCGCUUGAAUGUCGGAGGGGAUGGCGGAAUUCCCGGUGUAGAGGUGAAAUUCGUAGAUAUCGGGAGGAACACCUGUGGCGAAGGCGGCCAUCUGGACGACAAUUGACGCUGAGACGCGAAAGCGUGGGUAGCAAACAGG